GGUGGAAUGGUGUAAUGGUAGCACGUGACGUUGUGGUAUAAUGCUCACCCGUUGUAACAUACAAUCCCGUUUCAAUCUGGGUUCGAUUCCCAGUUCCGCCA
rfam:Pseudogymnoascus pannorum VKM F-4513 (FW-928) contig_3343, whole genome shotgun sequence.